rnacentral:misc_RNA from 1 species
AACUUUUGACAAUGGAUCUCUACAACAGUACCGCCUACAACAUUUAUUACGAGGUUACUUAUAUCGAUGACCCGGCAGAUGGCACGAUCCUUGCCGGCACCGAUGCGGCCCCCGACGAUUACAAACAGGUCAAACUCUCUAUCACAAAUACAUUUUCAAAUAAGACAUACUAUUUUUUAACAACAAUCGUCCCAAAAGGGCUCGAGGGACUUGCGUCGGGCGGCGCACUUUCGCUUUCAGUGAUCGACGCAAACGGCAAUCCCGUUCCCGGAGCAAGCAUUGCCAUAAGCAGCGUCGGACUCUCUCCCGCGAUCGUUCUCAACCGCGUUUCUGACUCGACGGGACACUGGACGGAAGUCGGACUCCCGAACGGCACGAACGCAUAUCAAUAAGCGGAGGCU